rnacentral:tRNA from 1 species
GGGCUCGUAGUGUAGUUAGGUAACACACUUCCCUGAAAAGUAAGAGCCUCGGGUUCAAAUCCCGACGAGUCCA